GAUGCCCUGAAACCAGAUACUGUGGGCUCCCCAGAGCACCCUUGGGAUCAGUGCUUAGCCAUGCCUUGGAUACAGUCCCACUGGGCUAUAACAGCAACUCCAUAAUUCAUCAGGGUCAGGAUUGGUCCCAGAGACUGAGGCAUGCUUGGCAACUGCUCCAACACUGGGAUAUGUCAUCAGCCUCUUAAGAAUGAGUCAAAGUCCAGG
rnacentral:lncRNA from 1 species